rnacentral:piRNA from 1 species
UAAAUAUUUAACUGCGAUCAG